UGCAAGUCGAGCGCGAACGGUCCUUCGGGACUUAUUAGAGCGGCGGACGGGUGAGUAAUGCAUAGGAAUCUGCCCAGCUAGUGGGGGAUAGCCCGGGGAAACCCGGAUUAAUACCGCAUACGUCCUACGGGAGAAAGCAGGGGAUCUUCGGACCUUGCGCUAUUGGAUGAGCCUAUGUCGGAUUAGCUUGUUGGUGGGGUAAUGGCCCACCAAGGCGACGAUCCGUAGCUGGUCUGAGAGGAUGAUCAGCCACGCUGGGACUGAGACACGGCCCAGACUCCUACGGGAGGCAGCAGUGGGGAAUAUUGCACAAUGGGGGAAACCCUGAUGCAGCCAUGCCGCGUGUGUGAAGAAGGCCUUCGGGUUGUAAAGCACUUUCAGUAGGGAGGAAGGCCUGUAAGUUAAUACCUUGCAGGAUUGACGUUACCUACAGAAGAAGCACCGGCUAACUCCGUGCCAGCAGCCGCGGUAA
rnacentral:rRNA from 1 species